GACGAACGCUGGCGGCGUGCCUAAUACAUGCAAGUAGAACGCUGAAGGAGGAGCUUGCUUCUCUGGAUGAGUUGCGAACGGGUGAGUAACGCGUAGGUAACCUGCCUGGUAGCGGGGGAUAACUAUUGGAAACGAUAGCUAAUACCGCAUAAGAGUAGAUGUCGCAUGACAUUUGCUUAAAAGGUGCAAUUGCAUCACUACCAGAUGGACCUGCGUUGUAUUAGCUAGUUGGUGAGGUAACGGCUCACCAAGGCAACGAUACAUAGCCGACCUGAGAGGGUGAUCGGCCACACUGGGACUGAGACACGGCCCAGACUCCUACGGGAGGCAGCAGUAGGGAAUCUUCGGCAAUGGACGGAAGUCUGACCGAGCAACGCCGCGUGAGUGAAGAAGGUUUUCGGAUCGUAAAGCUCUGUUGUAAGAGAAGAACGAGUGUGAGAGUGGAAAGUUCACACUGUGA
rnacentral:rRNA from 1 species